AGGGUUCGAUCCUGGCUCAGGACGAACGCUGGCGGCGUGCCUAACACAUGCAAGUCGAACGAGAACCCGGAGCUUGCUCCGGGGGACAGUGGCGAACGGGUGAGUAACACGUGAGGAACCUGCCCUAGAGACCGGGACAACCAUUGGAAACGAUGGCUAAUACCGGAUGCCUUCACAUGGUCGCAUGACCGAGUGAAGAAAUGCUCAGGCGCUCUAGGAGGGUCUCGCGACCUAUCAGCUAGUUGGUGAGGUAAUGGCUCACCAAGGCAUCGACGGGUAGCUGGUCUGAGAGGACGAUCAGCCACACUGGGACUGAGACACGGCCCAGACUCCUACGGGAGGCAGCAGUGGGGAAUAUUGCGCAAUGGGCGAAAGCCUGACGCAGCAACGCCGCGUGAGGGAUGACGGCUUUCGGGUUGUAAACCUCUUUCAGGGAUGACGAAAAUGACGGUAGUCCCAGAAGAAGCUCCGGCCAACUACGUGCCAGCAGCCGCGGUAACACGUAGGGAGCAAGCGUUGUCCGGAUUUAUUGGGCGUAAAGAGCUCGUAGGCGGUUUUGUAAGUCGGAUGUGAAAACUCAGGGCUCAACCCUGAGAUGCCAUCCGAUACUGCAAUGACUAGAGUCCGGUAGGGGAGCAUGGAAUUCCUGGUGUAGCGGUGGAAUGCGCAGAUAUCAGGAGGAACACCAAUGGCGAAGGCAGUGCUCUGGGCCGGUACUGACGCUGAGGAGCGAAAGCAUGGGGAGCAAACAGGAUUAGAUACCCUGGUAGUCCAUGCCGUAAACGUUGGGCACUAGGUGUGGGACCUUCUAACGGGUUCCGUGCCGUAGCUAACGCAUUAAGUGCCCCGCCUGGGGAGUACGGCCGCAAGGCUAAAACUCAAAGGAAUUGACGG
rnacentral:rRNA from 1 species